UGGAUCCAGACUUUGAUUCUGGCUCAGGACGAACGCUGGCGGCGUGCCUAAUACAUGCAAGUAGAACGCUGAAGGGAGGAGCUUGCUUCUUCUGGAUGAGUUGCGAACGGGUGAGUAACGCGUAGGUAACCUGCCUGAUAGCGGGGGAUAACUAUUGGAAACGAUAGCUAAUACCGCAUAAGAGGUAAUAACACAUGUUAUUAGUUUAAAAGGGGCAACUGCUCCACUAUCAGAUGGACCUGCGUUGUAUUAGCUAGUUGGUAAGGUAACGGCUUACCAAGGCGACGAUACAUAGCCGACCUGAGAGGGUGAUCGGCCACACUGGGACUGAGACACGGCCCAGACUCCUACGGGAGGCAGCAGUAGGGAAUCUUCGGCAAUGGGGGCAACCCUGACCGAGCAACGCCGCGUGAGUGAAGAAGGUUUUCGGAUCGUAAAGCUCUGUUGUAAGAGAAGAACGGAUGUGGGAGUGGAAAAUCCAUGUCGUGACGGUAUCUUACCAGAAAGGGACGGCUAACUACGUGCCAGCAGCCGCGGUAAUACGUAGGUCCCGAGCGUUGUCCGGAUUUAUUGGGCGUAAAGCGAGCGCAGGCGGUUUCAUAAGUCUGAAGUUAAAGGCAGUGGCCUAACCAUUGUACGCUUUGGAAACUGUGAGACUUGAGUGCAGAAGGGGAGAGUGGAAUUCCAUGUGUAGCGGUGAAAUGCGUAGAUAUAUGGAGGAACACCGGUGGCGAAAGCGGCUCUCUGGUCUGUAACUGACGCUGAGGCUCGAAAGCGUGGGGAGCAAACAGGAUUAGAUACCCUGGUAGUCCACGCCGUAAACGAUGAGUGCUAGGUGUUGGGUCCUUUCCGGGACUCAGUGCCGCAGCUAACGCAUUAAGCACUCCGCCUGGGGAGUACGACCGCAAGGUUGCAACUCAAAUGAAUUGACGGA
rnacentral:rRNA from 1 species